rnacentral:rRNA from 1 species
CAGUAGCGUAUAUUAAAGUUGUUGCAGUUAAAAUGCUCGUAGUUGAAGUUCGGAUGCAGCAGAGCUUGGAAACGCUGUUAUGGUGCUUCCGUUGCUUUUGCUUGUCCACGGUGCGUUGCAAGUACGUAUGUGCUUGUGCGUGCAUUUUACUUUGAGAAACAUAGGGUGUUCCACGCAUGUUACGGCAUGAAUAUUCCAGCAUGGGAUAAUCUGGUACGACUUCCAAUCUGCCAUUUUGGUUCGUAGGUUGGAAGUAAUGAUUAAUAGGGACUGUCGGGGGCAUUGGUAUUUGACUGUCAGAGGUGAAAUUCUUAGAUUCGUUGAGGACCAACCACUGCGAAAGCAUUUGUCAAGGAUGUCUCCAUUAA